rnacentral:tRNA from 1 species
AGGGGUGUAGCUCAGUGGUACAGUGUUUGCCUAGCAUGCAUGAGGCCUGGGUUUCAUCCCUAGCAACUCGU